CAAGUACUCCCUUCGUCUGGAAUUACUUGUCAUCAAAAUGGAUGUGUCUAGAACUAAAAUACAUCUAGAUACAUCCAUUUUGAUGACAAGUAUUUUCGGACGGAGGGAGUACAAG
rnacentral:pre_miRNA from 1 species